GAGGGGCAGCGGUGGUGAAGGCUUGCCUUUACCAGCCGGCGACCGGCGCACGGGUGAGUAACACGUAUGCAACCUGCCUGCCACAGCCGGAUAAUCGGGAGAAAUUCCGUCUAAUACGGCAUAAUGCAUCGACGGGACAUCCUGUUGGUGCCAAAGGUUGAUUCCGGUGGCGGAUGGGCAUGCGUCGCAUUAGUUAGUUGGCGGUGUAACGGACCACCAAGACGACGAUGCGUAGGGGUUCUGAGAGGAAGGUCCCCCACACUGGUACUGAGACACGGACCAGACUCCUACGGGAGGCAGCAGUGAGGAAUAUUGGUCAAUGGGCGGGAGCCUGAACCAGCCAAGUCGCGUGAGGGAUGACGGCCCUAUGGGUUGUAAACCUCUUUUGCCGGGGAGCAAAGUGCCGCACGUGUGCGGUUUGGAGAGUACCCGGAGAAAAAGCAUCGGCUAACUCCGUGCCAGCAGCCGCGGUAAUACGGAGGAUGCGAGCGUUAUCCGGAUUUAUUGGGUUUAAAGGGUGCGUAGGCGGACGCUUAAGUCAGCGGUAAAAUUGCGGGGCUCAACCUCGUCGAGCCGUUGAAACUGGGUGCCUUGAGUGGGCGAGAAGUACGCGGAAUGCGUGGUGUAGCGGUGAAAUGCAUAGAUAUCACGGAGAACUCCGAUUGCGAAGGCAGCGUACCGGCGCCCAACUGACGC
rnacentral:rRNA from 1 species